GCGGACGUAGCUCAGUUGGUAGAGCACUCGCCUUCCAAGCAAGAUGUCGCCGGUUCGAACCCGGUCGUCCGCUCCA
rnacentral:tRNA from 1 species